rnacentral:rRNA from 1 species
CAGUAGCCACGGUAAUACAGAGGGUGCAAGCGUUAAUCGGAAUUACUGGGCGUAAAGCGCGCGUAGGUGGUUUGUUAAGUUGGAUGUGAAAUCCCCGGGCUCAACCUGGGAACUGCGUUCAAAACUGACUGACUAGAGUAUGGUAGAGGGUGGUGGAAUUUCCUGUGUAGCGGUGAAAUGCGUAGAUAUAGGAAGGAACACCAGUGGCGAAGGCGACCACCUGGACUAAUACUGACACUGGGGUGCGAAAGCGUGGGGAGCGAACAGGAUUAGAUACCCCCGUAGUCCCUGUCUCUUAUAC